rnacentral:rRNA from 1 species
GAAGGGUGCAAGCGUUAAUCGGAAUUACUGGGCGUAGAGCGUGCGUAGGCGGUUUGUUAAGUCUGUUGUGAAAUCCCCGGGCUCAACCAGGGAAUGGCAAUGGAUACUGGCAAGCUAGAGUGUGAUAGAGGAUGGUGGAAUUCCCGGUGUAGCGGUGAAAUGCGUAGAGAUCGGGAGGAACAUCAGUGGCGAAGGCGGCCAUCUGGAUCAACACUGACGCUGAGGCACGAAAGCGUGGGGAGCAAACAGGAUUGGAUACCCUGGUAGUCCACGCCCUAAACGAUGCGAACUGGAUGUUGGUCUCAACUCGGAGAUCAGUGUCGAAGCUAACGCGUUAAGUUCGCCGCCUGGGGAGUACGGUCGUAAGACUG